GACGAAGGAUGCAAGCGUUAUCCGGAUUCACUGGGUUUAAAGGGUGCGUAGGUGGGUUGGUAAGUCAGUGGUGAAAUCUCCAGGCUUAACUUGGAAACUGCCAUUGAUACUAUCAAUCUUGAAUACCGUGGAGGUCAGCGGAAUAUGUCAUGUAGCGGUGAAAUGCUUAGAGAUGACAUAGAACACCAAUUGCGAAGGCAGCUGGCUACACGAAUAUUGACACUGAUGCACGAAAGCGUGGGGAUCAAACAGG
rnacentral:rRNA from 1 species